rnacentral:rRNA from 1 species
AAAUUAUUACUGACGGUCAUGCCGGAAGGCGGGGGGGAUUAAACCAGAAUAGAUCCCCCGUAGUUCCCCGCAGUAAACAAGGAUUACUAGUUGUUUGCGAUACCCUUUAAGCGAGUGCGCGAAAAGCAUUAAAUAAUCCACCUGGGGAGGACGUUUGCAAGAAUGAAACUCAAAAGAAUUAACGGGGGCCCGCACCAGCGGAGGAACAUGUGGUUUAAUUCGAUGAUACGCGAGGAACCUUACCUGGGCUUGAAAUGCAUUUGAUUGGCACAGAGACGUGCCUUCUCUUCGGAGCAGAUGUGUAGGUGCUGCAUGGUUGUCGUCAGCUCGUGCCGUGAGGUGUCGGCUUAAGUGCCAUAACGAGCGCAACCCUUAUCAUUAGUUGCUAACAGGUCAAGCUGAGGACUCUAAUGAGACUGCCAUCGUAAGAUGUGAGGAAGGUGGGGAUGACGUCAAAUCAGCACGGCCCUUAUGUCCGGGGCGACACACGUGUUACAAUGGGUGGUACAAAGGGCAGCUACCAGGCGACUGGAUGCUAAUCUCUAAAACCACUCUCAGUUCGGAUCGGAGUCUGCAACUCGACUUCGUGAAGCUGGAUUCGCUAGUAAUCGCGCAUCAGCCACGGCGCGGUGAAUACGUUCCCGGGCCUUGCACACACCGCCCGUCAAG